rnacentral:rRNA from 1 species
GUCCACGCCGUAAACGAUGCGCACUAGGUAUAAGAGGUUUAACGCCGAUUGUGCCGGAGCAAAAGUGCUAAGUGCGCCGCCUGGGGAGUACGGCCGCAAGGCUAAAACUCAAAGGAAUUGACGGGGCUCACACAAGCGGUGGAGCAUGUGGAUUAAUUCGAAGCAACGCGAAGAACCUUACCUGGGUUUGACAUGCUAGGAUGCUCUCUUGGAAACAGGAGUAGGCUGCCUUCGGGUGAAACUAGCACAGGUGCUGCAUGGCUGUCGU